GUACUUAUUUAGUCGAGGCACUCUUCGCCGAGCGGCAGUGCUCUUUCUUUUGUACAACAGUGUUCGUCGGUGAUAAUAUAUCACACACACACACACACACACACACACACACACACACACAGAUACCGAUACAAUUGCUACAGUGCUGUUCAGCUGCAAGAAGUUAAUAAAGCCAACAAAGAGAGAAGUUGCUGCGUCUUCUCUGACCGGAGGAUUAGGCCAGUAUAUGCACAGCCAGCGUAUCAUCACUGAAGCUGUUCCCCAACAACACACACUAACACUAAUAAAGUACACCAUUUCCCAACACCCCCAUCAAUCACCACUUGGAUGCCCCCACAACUACAAAUAUGGUGACCGUUCCCUGGGGAAGCCUUUUGCCCGAACACCCUGGAGACAAAGGAGACUGGUGGAACCAUGUGGCCAUCACAGAACCAACCAGCACCAAUAAGAUUUACAGUUUUUCUCCAUUGGUUUGGCUCAUUUCUUGAAACUGAGAUGACAUUCUCAUAACAACAUGGACAAAUCCCCAAACUAUCUUGCAGUUUCUCACAACAGAAUGGCAUUUAUCAUUGCUUUCAUCACAUUUCCAAAUGCUUUGUACAUGUGUCAAGCCUUUAGUACAUCCUUGCAAAUAGCUAUGUACAAGUAUCCUACAGUUAACACAAUCAGCCAACAUUUAGUACAUUUUUCAAAUGAAUGUAUCUUGCUGAUCUAUCCCAAUUGGUUGGUUUUCAGUGUCAUGGUUAUUGUCCUCAAAACAUGUCAGCACAUUUUCAUCGUAUAAGUCAUCAUAUGCAGAAUAGUCUGCUCAAUUGUCAAAAUAGUGUUAGGAAACUGGAAUAGAAUACAGUACAUAUUUUGGAAGAUGUUAUAGUAAAUUUAGGAUAAUCAGGUUAGGUGAAAUAAGUUUUUGACUAACGAAGGAGGCGUGUAUAACCAUGUGCGCGGCCAUCUCAGAAAAUGGUGUGGCCACCCACAAUGCAAGUUUGGGCCCAUACAACACAGAUAAACUCCUCCGUUUCCUGGAUCAACUGUAUCUUGAUCUGGUCCCAGAAAAUGAGAGGGGUCUCGAAGGGCCCCACCUACCCCAGUUUGUAAUUAUAUGGGACAACGUUAGUUUCCACCGGGGUCCACGCAUCCGGGGAUGGUUCAACAUGCAUCCAAGAAUGCACAAUGUGUUCUUGCCACCAUACUCUCCAUUCCUCAAUCCUAUCGAGGAGUUUUUCUCUGCUUGGAGAUGGAGAGUGUAUGAACACCAUGCGGAAAACCAGAGGGCUCUCAUGACUGCAAUGGACGCUGCCUGUGAGGACAUAACAGGGGAUCAGUGUAGAGGAUGGCUCAGGCAUGCACGACGCUUCUUCCCGCGCUGUAUCUCAAGAGACAACAUCAGAUGCGAUGUGGAUGAGAAUCUGUGGCCGAACAGAGCACAGAGAAUGGAUGGCCAGGAAGAUGAGGAUGGUGACCAGGAGAGAGAGGGGAGUGACCGUGACUAAACAAAAUGUCUUCAUUUGUGACUCUUUGUAUUUACA